GGGUAUGGGGGGGGGGGGGGGGGGGGGGGGGGGGGGGUAAGUAAACUUUUUUUAAAACAUUAAAUUUCACAAUCUUUGUUAAUGGAAAAAUAAAUGUUCUUAGAAAGGUAUCUCUAUCUUCAGAGUUUUAUAUGAAAAUUAUUUUAUUUUGUCCGUCUGGCAGGUUUUAAUUGACUUCGACCUCAUUUUCAUAGUUUAUUUGACAGUUUUUAGUUGUGUGGUUGGAUCAAUUUCUCGAGCAUUAUAAGCAAUAGGUCAAUUAUAUGUAGUGUAUGGAACAAUUGUGAGGUGCCUGUCUGUUGGUCGGUGUUUACAUGACCUUGACCUCAUUUUAAAGGUUCAUUGAUCAAUGUUUAGAUUUUGUGGUUAGAUCUGUUUCUCAUGUUCUAUAAGCAAUAUGACAACUAUAGUUGGUUCAUUGAUAAUGUUAAGUUUAUGUGAUAAUUGUAGUAACUCCUCCAUAUUACAGACUUUCAACAUGAAUUCAAUGAUAAGUAAAUCAAAGGCGAGACAUGUGCACUCUUACUUUGGUUAUAAAAUGUUUAAAGUGUUGAUUAAAGUACAUGUACCUAAAUUUCAAUAUAUUUUUGUUUCAGAGUGCUUAAGGAGCAUCCUUAACAUUUUGAGAGAAAAAUGAAGAUUUUGUUGAAGGGGGAAAUGUGUUUGGUACAUUACUCACAUGUUUGCCUGAAGAAGCUGCUGUUCCUUUGGAAACAUGUCUUACUUGUUUUCUGAUAUGAUAAAUGGGAGUGAGAAAAUUGUUUUGAAACACCAGCAAAAAAGACUAGAUUGUCAUUCAGUCCUGACCCCAUACAGUGUCUCUGCAGAUGAAGAUAGAUCAGGCCAAUCCAGAAACAAGAAAAGGGACAAUUUUUAGCACGUUCAUCUAUGGAGACAUGUAUCUAAAAAAGCAGA